rnacentral:rRNA from 1 species
UACGAAGGGGGCGAGCGUUGUUCGGAGUUACUGGGCGUAAAGCGUGCGUAGGCGGUUUCUUAAGUCUGCUGUGAAAGCCCCGGGCUCAACCUGGGAAUGGCGGUGGAUACUGAGAAGCUGGAGUACGGUAGAGGAAGGUGGAAUUCCCGGUGUAGCGGUGAAAUGCGUAGAGAUCGGGAGGAACACCAGUGGCGAAGGCGGCUUUCUGGACGGUAACUGACGCUGAGGCGCGAAAGCGUGGGGAGCGAACAGG